rnacentral:lncRNA from 1 species
CCGCCCUUACGGUCAUUGUUUGGUUGCAGGGAUAAAAAAGUACCCGAGCAAGGUUAUCAAGAAGGACUCAGCAAAGAAGACUGCCAAGAAAUCCCGCGUCAAGUGCUUCAUCAAGCUUGUCAACUACCAGCAUUUGAUGCCCACUCGCUACACUCUUGACGUCGACCUUAAGGACGUUGUCACCGUCGACUCUCUGCAGAGCAAGGAGAAGAAGGUGGCGGCUGCUAAGGAGACUAAGGCGAGGUUCGAGGAGCGGUUCAAGACUGGAAAGAAUAGGUGGUUCUUUACCAAGCUCAGGUUUUGAGGAUUCAUUUCUUAAGAGUUUUGUUUGGUUUCUUUAU